rnacentral:rRNA from 1 species
AACGCGAAGAACCUUACCUACUCUUGACAUCCUCGGAAUCUGGUAGAGAUACCGGAGUGCCUUCGGGAACCGAGAGACAGGUGCUGCAUGGCUGUCGUCAGCUCGUGUCGUGAGAUGUUGGGUUAAGUCCCGUAACGAGCGCAACCCCUAUCCUUAGUUGCCAUCGGGUCAUGCCGGGAACUCUAAGGAGACUGCUGGUGAUAAGCCAGAGGAAGGCGGGGAUGACGUCAAGUCAUCAUGGCCCUUACGAGUAGGGCUACACACGUGCUACAAUGGGCGGUACAAAGGGAAGCGAAACUGCAAAGUGAAGCGAAUCUCAUUAAAGCCGCUCGUAGUCCGGAUUGGAGUCUGCAACUCGACUCCAUGAAGUUGGAAUCGCUAGUAAUCGCAGAUCAGAACGCUGCGGUGAAUACGUUCCCGGGCCUUGUACACACCGAGACGUA